GAUGAACGCUGGCGGCGUGCCUAAUACAUGCAAGUCGAGCGAAUGGAUUAAGAGCUUGCUCUUAUGAAGUUAGCGGCGGACGGGUGAGUAACACGUGGGUAACCUGCCCAUAAGACUGGGAUAACUCCGGGAAACCGGGGCUAAUACCGGAUAACAUUUUGAACCGCAUGGUUCGAAAUUGAAAGGCGGCUUCGGCUGUCACUUAUGGAUGGACCCGCGUCGCAUUAGCUAGUUGGUGAGGUAACGGCUCACCAAGGCAACGAUGCGUAGCCGAACUGAGAAGGUGAUCGGCCACACUGGGACUGAGACACCGCCCAGACUCCUACGUGAGGCAGCAGUAGGGGAUCUUCCGCAAUGGACGAAAGUCUGACGGAGCAACGCCGCGUGAGUGAUGAAGGCUUUCGGGUCGUAAAACUCUGUCGUUAGGGAAGAACAAGUGCUAGUUGAAUAAGCUGGCACCUUGACGGUACCUAACCAGAAAGCCACGGCUAACUACGUGCCAGCCGCCGCGGUAA
rnacentral:rRNA from 1 species